CCUACGGGGGGCAGCAGUGGGGAAUAUUGCACAAUGGGCGCAAGCCUGAUGCAGCCAUGCCGCGUGUGUGAAGAAGGCCUUCGGGUUGUAAAGCACUUUCAGCGGGGAGGAAGGCGUUAAGGUUAAUAACCUUGUCGAUUGACGUUACCCGCAGAAGAAGCACCGGCUAACUCCGUGCCAGCAGCCGCGGUAAUACGGAGGGUGCAAGCGUUAAUCGGAAUUACUGGGCGUAAAGCGCACGCAGGCGGUCUGUCAAGUCGGAUGUGAAAUCCCCGGGCUCAACCUGGGAACUGCAUUCGAAACUGGCAGGCUAGAGUCUUGUAGAGGGGGGGAGAAUUCCAGGUGUAGCGGUGAAAUGCGUAGAGAUCUGGAGGAAUACCGGGGGCGAAGGCGGCCCCCUGGACAAAGACUGACGCUCAGGUGCGAAAGCGUGGGGAGCAAACAGGAUUAGAACCCCAGUAGUC
rnacentral:rRNA from 1 species